GAUGAACGCUAGCGGCAGGCCUAACACAUGCAAGUCGAGGGGACGGUUACUUUCGGGUAACUUAGACCGGCGGACGGGUGCGUAACGCGUAUACAAUCUGCAUCUCACUGGGGGAUAGCCCUAAGAAAGGGGGAUUAAUACUCCAUAGUAUAGUAAUACGGAAUCGCGAUGCUAUAUAAGCUAAGGUGGUUAAAGAUGAGUAUGCGUUUUAUUAGCGAGUUGGAUAGGUAACGGCUCCCCAAGGGGAUGAUAGAGAGGGGUUUUGAUAGUGAAGUCCCCCACACUGGUACCACGAUCCAGACCCCACUCCUACGCGACGCAGGAGUGUCGUAUACUGGACAAUGGUCGGUAGCCGGACCCAGCCAUGCCGCGUGCAGGAUGCUGGUCUUAUGGAUUGUAAACUGCUUUUGUAAGGGAAGAAUAAGAGCUACGCGUAGUUUGAUGACGGUACCUUACGAAUAAGCAUCGGCUAACUACGUG
rnacentral:rRNA from 1 species